UGACCUGUUCAAUGUUCCUACUUCACUCUU
rnacentral:piRNA from 1 species